GACGAACGCUGGCGGCGUGCCUAAUACAUGCAAGUUGAGCGCUGAAGGUUGGUACUUGUACCAACUGGAUGAGCAGCGAACGGGUGAGUAACGCGUGGGGAAUCUGCCUUUGAGCGGGGGACAACAUUUGGAAACGAAUGCUAAUACCGCAUAAAAACUUUAAACACAAGUUUUAAGUUUGGAAGAUGCAAUUGCAUCACUCAAAGAUGAUCCCGCGUUGUAUUAGCUAGUUGGUGAGGUAAAGGCUCACCAAGGCGAUGAUACAUAGCCGACCUGAGAGGGUGAUCGGCCACAUUGGGACUGAGACACGGCCCAAACUCCUACGGGAGGCAGCAGUAGGGAAUCUUCGGCAAUGGACGAAAGUCUGACCGAGCAACGCCGCGUGAGUGAAGAAGGUUUUCGGAUCGUAAAACUCUGUUGGUAGAGAAGAACGUUGGUGAGAGUGGAAAGCUCAUCAAGUGACGGUAACUACCCAGAAAGGGACGGCUAACUACGUG
rnacentral:rRNA from 1 species